UACCGCAUACGUUCCCUAGGACCUCGGUCCUGGGGGAGGAAAGGCCGCAAGGGCCACUGGAUGAGGGGCCUGCGUAGCAUCAGCUAGUUGGUGGGGUAAUGGCCUACCAAGGCGAAGACGCUUAGCUGGUCUGAGAGGAUGAUCAGCCACACUGGGACUGAGACACGGCCCAGACUCCUACGGGAGGCAGCAGUGGGGAAUAUUGGACAAUGGGCGCAAGCCUGAUCCAGCCACGCCGCGUGAGUGAUGAAGGCCUUCGGGUCGUAAAGCUCUGUGGGGAGGGACGAACGGCGCCAUGAAGAGUGGCGAUUGACGGUACCUCCUUAGCAAGCACCGGCUAACUUCGUGCCAGCAGCCGCGGUAAUACGAAGGGUGCAAACGUUGCUCGGAAUCAUUGGGCGUAAAGCGCACGUAGGCGGCUUUCUAAGUCGGAUGUGAAAUCCCUCGGCUUAACCGAGGACGUGCAUCCGAAACUGGGAGGCUUGAGUAUGGAAGAGGGUCGC
rnacentral:rRNA from 1 species